UGGGGAAUUUUGGACAAUGGGCGCAAGCCUGAUCCAGCAAUGCCGCGUGCAGGAUGAAGGCCUUCGGGUUGUAAACUGCUUUUGUACGGAACGAAAAGGCUCUGGUUAAUACCUGGACAUAUGACGGUACCGUAAGAAUAAGCACCGGCUAACUACGUGCCAGCAGCCGCGGUAAUACGUAGGGUGCGAGCGUUAAUCGGAAUUACUGGGCGUAAAGCGUGCGCAGGCGGUUUUGUAAGACAGAGGUGAAAUCCCCGGGCUCAACCUGGGAACUGCCUUUGUGACUGCAAGGCUGGAGUGCGGCAGAGGGGGAUGGAAUUCCGCGUGUAGCAGUGAAAUGCGUGAUAUGCGGAGGAACACCGAUGGCGAAGGNAAUCCCCUGGCCUGACUGACGCUCAUGCACGAAAGCGUGGGGAGCAAACAGGAUUAGAUACCCUGGUAGUCCACGCCCUAAAGCGAUGUCAACUGGCUUGUUGGGUCUUAAUUGACUCAGUAACGAAGCUAACGCGUGAAGUUGACCGCCUGGGGAGUACGGCCGCAAGGUUGAACUCAAAUGAAUUGACGGGGUCAUA
rnacentral:rRNA from 1 species